rnacentral:rRNA from 1 species
AUGGAUUGGUCAUCUCUCACCUGUUCCGCCUCCUUCCUAAUCAUUCUGCUCCUGCCGUUGGGUGCGUCUGAUGACCGGCUUGUCCCCAGCAAGCCGCUCUCCCCUGGCACAACCGUCGUCUCGGAUGGCGGUGACUUCGCCUUGGGCUUCUUCUCCUCAUCCGGCUCGACGCCGUCCAACCUGUACCUUGGCAUCUGGUACAGCAGCAUCCCCGAGCUCACUGUGGUGUGGGUUGCCAACCGGGGAACCCCACUCACAAACGGUACCUCCUCUGCACCGACUCUCACCCUCACCAAUGCCUCCAAUCUUGUUCUCUCUGACAGUGAUGGUGGUCGAGUUGUUUGGAUGACCAACGUGGGCGCUGCCUCGAGCUCCUCUUCGACAGAGGCGGUGCUUCUGAACACCGGUAACCUCAUCAUUCGGUCACCCAACGGCACCACGUUGUGGCAGAGUUUCGACCACCCAACCGACACGUUCCUGCCCGGCAUGAAGAUGCAAAUCAGGUAUAGGACACGCGCCGGUGAGCGCCUGGUGUCCUGGAAAGACGCUGGAGACCCCUCGCCUGGGGGCUUCUCCUACGGCUGCGAUCCGGCCACGUCCAUCCAGAUGUUCCUUUGGGACGGGUCACGCCCGGUGUACCGCAGCACCCCGUGGACCGGGUUCCGGGUGAAGAGCGAAGACGAGUACCUGUUGACAAACACCAGCGCUAUCAUCAUAAACCUGGCUUUCGUCAACAACGAUGAGGAGAGCUACACGAUGUUUACCGUCUCUGAUGGUGCCUGGCACACCAGGUUCGUGCUGACCUACUCCGGCAAGCUCCAGUUCCAAAGCUGGAACAGUAGCUCUUCCACGUGGGUAGUUUUUGGGCAGUGGCCACCCCAUGAAUGCAACCGCUACGGCUACUGUGGCCCGAAUGGCUAUUGCGAUGAGACGGUGUUGCCUAUUCCGACGUGCAAGUGCUUUGACGGUUUCAAGCCGAUGAGCACGGAGGAGUGGGACAAUGGCGAGUUCUGGAAAGGGUGCCAACGGAAAGAGGCGUUGCGUUGCAGCGAUGGUUUCAUGCCCUUGUCGGGGAUGAAGCCACCGGAUAGGUUCGUGAUCGUCGGAAACACGUCGUUGAGGGAGUGCGCCGCGGCAUGUGGUCGCAACUGCUCCUGCAUGGCGUACGCAUACGCCAACCUGAGCAGCAGCAUUGAAAACAGAGACCUGACAAGGUGUUUGGUGUGGGUCGGGGAGUUGGUUGACACCGGGAGGCUAGGCGCAAGCACCGCCAGCGACACACUCUAUCUACGGCUUGCAGGCUUAGAUGCAGCAACUGGUAAAAGGACAAGGAGCAAUGCCAUGAAAGUUGUGUUGCCGGUUUUAGGAGGUGCUGCUCUGAUACUCAUGUGCAUUUCCAUUGCAUGGUUGAAAUUCAAAGGCAAGGACAGAAACCAGGAAAAACACAAGAAGUUGCCAUCGGAUGGUUCAAGUGAUCUUGACUUUCCAUUUAUAAGAUUUGAGGAAAUUGCCCUAGCAACACACAAUUUCUCCGAAACAUGUAUGAUUGGACAUGGAGGCUUUGGCAAAGUUUAUAAGGGAAUUGUAGGUGGUCAAGAAAUUGCUGUCAAAAGGCUAAGUAGGGAUUCUCAACAAGGAACAAAUGAAUUCAGGAAUGAAGUAAUUCUUAUUGCCAAAUUGCAACACAAAAAUUUGGUUCGACUUCUUGGAUGUUGUGACAAGGGAGAUGAAAAGUUAUUGAUCUAUGAGUAUUUGCCCAAUAAAAGCUUAGAUGCCACCCUUUUUGAUGAUUCAAGAAAACAUUUGCUGGAUUGGGGGACACGGUUAAAUAUAAUUAAAGGUAUCGCAAGGGGGCUUCUUUAUCUUCAUGAAGAUUCAAGACUGACCAUAAUUCACAGAGAUCUCAAAGCAGGGAACGUUUUGCUAGAUGCAGAGAUGAAACCUAAAAUAGCAGAUUUUGGUAUGGCAAGGAUCUUCGGUGAUAACCAGGAAAAUGCGAACACCCAACGCGUCGUCGGAACAUUUGGCUACAUGGCCCCUGAGUAUGCAAUGCACGGCAUCAUCUCUAUCAAAUCCGACAUCUACAGUUUUGGCGUGUUACUACUGGAGAUUGUAACUGGUAUGAAGAGAAGCUCCACUAGUCACGCCAUGGGCUUUCCAAGCCUCAUAAUCUACUCGUGGAAUAUGUGGAAAGAUGGGAAGGCAGCAGAAUUGGCUGACUCAUCUAUUAUAGAUACAUGCCUACUAGAUGAGGUGUUGCUUUGCAUUCAUGUAGCACUCUUGUGUGUCCAAGAAAACCCAAAAGACAGACCACACAUGUCAUCGGUUGUGUUCACCCUAGAGAAUGGAAGCACUACACUCCCAACUCCCAGUCGGCCUGCAUACUUUGUGGGACAGAGCACUGAGUUGGAGCAACUCAGAAACAAUAUUCAGAAUUCCGUGAAUACUUUAACUCUUACUGGUAUAGAGGGUCGAUGA